GACGAACGCUGGCGGCGUGCUUAACACAUGCAAGUCGAACGGAAAGGCCCUGCUUUUGUGGGGUGCUCGAGUGGCGAACGGGUGAGUAACACGUGAGUAACCUGCCCUUGACUUUGGGAUAACUUCAGGAAACUGGGGCUAAUACCGGAUAGGAGCUCCUGCUGCAUGGUGGGGGUUGGAAAGUUUCGGCGGUUGGGGAUGGACUCGCGGCUUAUCAGCUUGUUGGUGGGGUAGUGGCUUACCAAGGCUUGGACGGGUAGCCGGCCUGAGAGGGUGACCGGCCACAUUGGGACUGAGAUACGGCCCGGACUACUACGGGAGGCAGCAGUGGGGAAUAUUGCACAAUGGGCGGAAGCCUGAUGCAGCAACGCCGCGUGCGGGAUGACGGCCUUCGGGUUGUAAACCGCUUUCGCCUGUGACGAAGCGUGAGUGACGGUAAUGGGUAAAGAAGCACCGGCUAACUACGUG
rnacentral:rRNA from 1 species